rnacentral:lncRNA from 1 species
CAUGCUUGUCAGGUUCUUGGCUGGCCCUGCUGUGAUGGCAGUUGCUUCUGUUGCAGUAGGUCUUAGGGGCACCGUGUUGCGGGUCUCCAUUGUACAAGCCGCUCUGCCGCAAGGCAUAGUUCCCUUUGUGUUUUCCAGGGAAUACAACCUGCAUCCAGAAAUGCUAAGCACAGCGUAAGUACUCACAGCAUCAAACUCCAAAUACAGUAGAAUACAACAAUACCCACCAUGGCUAUUAAUUAUUAUCACAUGCUCCUCUUAUCAAACUUUCAGGGUAAUUUUUGGAAUGAUUGUCGCCCUUCCCAUCACAAUUCUGUACUAUGUUCUCCUGGGACUGUAAUACGACUGAGUACGUACUCCUGCACCAAACC